UAUUUGAACAUGAACUCAUUUGUAGGCUG
rnacentral:piRNA from 1 species